UCCCUCAACCACGGAGAGUGCCUAAGGGCUGGACAAGUACACUCAAGAAGAAACAGAGGUUUUCCCCGAGAGUGUGGGCUCCACCUGAGAAUGGAAAAGGUCGAAAAUUACAGCAAGAAGCUGAAUGCUGUGUGAAGUAGUCCCGUGACCCAGGGCAGAGAGAAAACACGUGAGCUCACUGUGGAGAACUUUCGGGAAGGCCAGGCCUCCGCGGGGAAAGUUCAGUAGAGCACACUGUUUUACAGAAUUGUCUUGUAUAACAUGGCACUGGUUUAAAUGCUAUAAAUGUUAAUAAAAUGUUUAUUUGGUUAUCUAAA
rnacentral:lncRNA from 1 species